rnacentral:rRNA from 1 species
UACGGAGGGUGCGAGCGUUAAUCGGAAUUACUGGGCGUAAAGGGAGCGUAGGCGGUUAGGUAAGUCAGAUGUGAAAUCUCAGGGCUCAACCCUGAAACUGCAUCCGAUACUGCCUGACUAGAGUAAUGGAGGGGUAGCUGGAAUUCUCGGUGUAGCGGUGAAAUGCGUAGAUAUCAUGAAGAACACCGGUGGCGAAGGCGACUCUCUGGUACAUAACUGACGCUGAGGUACGAAAGCCGGGGUAGCGAAGAGG